ACCACAAUUUGACUCAUCGUAUGAUUACACAAAGGCAGCCACAUAUAAUGCUUGGACCAUGGAACAAGCGUGAUACUUUUUUCUUCGUGGGAACAGCACAAAUGGU